rnacentral:lncRNA from 1 species
CUUGGUCAUAAUACUUUCUUAGUGAAAUAAAAUUGAAGAGUGCACCAGGUCGUAUUUUUUUUGAGGGAACACAGUACAACGCACGUACACAAACCCUACCCUUAUGAGCAUCUCCGAAGUCUGAUCAGCGGGGAUGGCGCCUAUCCCUGAAAGCACAAAACUAUUAGAAAAUCCUGGAAUAUUCGCUCCAAUCAGGAGUCAAACCAAGACCUUAGGUGCUACUAAGGCCCUUCUAACCACUAGGCUACAGGCC